rnacentral:rRNA from 1 species
GAUGAACGCUGACAGAAUGCUUAACACAUGCAAGUCGAUGGGGAAGUGGUGCUUGCACCAUGGUAACCAUGGCGGACGGGUGAGUAACGCGUAAGGAACUUACCUGCGGGCCGGGGAUAACAGCAGGAAACGGCUAACAGAACGGGAAAAGUCAAUUAGCCGCCAUACCUUGGGAUGAAAAGGAGACGCCUGCGGAGAGCCUUGCGUCCUAUUAGCUAGUUGGAGGGGUAACGGCCCACCAAGGCGAAGAUAGGUAGCCGGCCUGAGAGGGUGGACGGCCACAAGGGGACUGAGAUACGGCCCUUACUCCUACGGGAGGCAGCAGUGGGGAAUAUUGGACAAUGGGGGCAACCCUGAUCCAGCAAUUCUGUGUGCACGAAGACGGUUUUCGGAUUGUAAAGUGCUUUCAGCAGGGAAGAAGGAAGUGACGGUACCUGCAGAAGAAGCGACGGCUAAAUACGU